AAAGCAGGAGUUUCAGAAGUCUUGUGAACCAAGGAGCGAGGAUCAAUUUAUCGGUAAGUCUGUGGCAUUUGUUCUUUUCUUGUUUAUAUUUUCUAGUGUUUAUUUUUACUUUCUUUUAGGAUUGUAGACCCAAUUAGAGAGAUGAGUUUAAUUUUAGGUGGUUAUUAUUUCGGUAUUGCAUACAUUGAGUGGGUUUCAAGAGCAGAUUUGAUCUUUCCCAUACCCUCCUUCGUCACCUUAUAUGUGAUGUAUAGUUCCCCUGCAAUGUAAAUAUUUAUUUUAUGUCUGCUCUUUUGGACAUUGGUGUCUUAUUUGGCAUUGGGAUAUCAUACCCUAAGUUUAUUAAUUAACAACUGCUAACUUUUUAUAACAAUUAUUAAUUUGAUUCAAUUAAAUCUAUGAUAAUUCAAUUUAGCAAUGUUAAUUCGACUAUACUACUCUCUUUCAAGUCUUUAUUAACACUUAAUGGUAAAUGUCU
rnacentral:lncRNA from 1 species